AUGUUAUUUUUGGCAGCAUAUGUACUAAAAUUUGAAUGAUACAGAGAAGAUUAGCAUGGCACCUGCACAAG
rfam:Egretta garzetta contig55269, whole genome shotgun sequence.